rnacentral:rRNA from 1 species
UACGGGGGGGCAAGCGUUGUUCGGAAUUACUGGGCGUAAAGGGCUCGUAGGCGGCCAACUAAGUCCGACGUGAAAUCCCCAGGCUUAACCUGGGAACUGCGUCGGAUACUGGAUGGCUUGAAUUCGGGAGAGGGAUGCAGAAUUCCAGGUGUAGCGGUGAAAUGCGUAGAUAUCUGGAGGAAUACCGGUGGCGAAGGCGGCAUCCUGGACCGAGAUUGACACUGAGGAGCGAAAGCCAGGGGAGCAAACGGGG